rnacentral:rRNA from 1 species
ACCACUUUGUGAUUCAUGACUGGGGUGAAGUCGUAACAAGGUAACCGUAGGUGAACCUGCGGUUGGAUCACCUCCUUACCUUAAAGAAGC